GACCACGCGGCCUAAUGGACAAGGCGUCUGACUUCGGAUCAAAAGAUUGAGGUUUCGAGUCCCUUCGUGGUUG
rfam:Gasterosteus aculeatus cont1.013986, whole genome shotgun sequence.